rnacentral:rRNA from 1 species
GACGAACGCUGGCGGCGUGCCUAACACAUGCAAGUCGAACGGAAGUAAGUGCUUCGGUAUUUACUUUAGUGGCGAACGGGUGAGUAACGCGUGAGGAACCUGCCUUUCAGAGGGGGACAACAGUUGGAAACGACUGCUAAUACCGCAUGACACAUUGAGGGGGCAUCCCUUUGAUGUCAAAGAUUUAUCGCUGAAAGAUGGCCUCGCGUCCCAUUAGCUAGUUGGUGAGGUAACGGCCCACCAAGGCGACGAUGGGUAGCCGGACUGAGAGGUUGACCGGCCACAUUGGGACUGAGAUACGGCCCAG